AUUAUACUUUCUCUGUCCAACAAAAAAUGUCUCAAUUUUAAUUAAAUUUGAAUGUAUCUAUAUACCAAGUCAUGUCUAAAUACAUUUAAGUUUUGACAAACUUGAGACAUAUUUUGUUAGACGGAGAAAGUAUUAC
rfam:Brachypodium distachyon strain Bd21 chromosome 3, whole genome shotgun sequence.